AGCAGCCGCGGUAAUUCCAGCUCCAAUAGCGUAUAUUAAAGUUGUUGCAGUUAAAAAGCUCGUAGUUGAAUUUCGGGAUUGACACAUCGGUCGUGCCUUAAGGGGUAUGAACUGGUGUAGUCAAUUUCUCACCUUCUGGAGAACCGCGAUGCCCUUAAUUGGGUGUCACGGGGAACCAGGACCUUUACUUUGAAAAAAUUAGAGUGUUUAAAGCAGGCAUUUUGCUUGAAUACAUUAGCAUGGAAUAAUAAAAUAGGACGGCAUGAUUCUAUUUUGUUGGUUUCUAGGAUCACCGUAAUGAUUAAUAGGGAUAGUUGGG
rnacentral:rRNA from 1 species